GGAGGGUGUAGGAAAGAAAGUACAAACAAAGAAAGUUGCAUAUCCUGCAGCCUCUCCAGAACCAUCUUUUACUCCAGUUGUUAGCAUCCUUGGUGAAGUGGAGACUAUUGAAGAGCCAACAGACCGAUCACAGAAAGCACCAUCUCCUGAAAUUGCUCCCAUACCACCAUACGUGUCAGUUCCCAAAGAAGAUGAUGAGGUGCCCCAGGAUGUGCCAUCUAGCCCUAUUUUGGUCAGAGUUCCUUCCCC